rnacentral:rRNA from 1 species
GACGAACGCUGGCGGCGUGCUUAACACAUGCAAGUCGAACGGAAAGGCCCUGCUUUUGUGGGGUGCUCGAGUGGCGAACGGGUGAGUAACACGUGAGUAACCUGCCCUUGACUUUGGGAUAACUUCAGGAAACUGGGGCUAAUACCGGAUAGGAGCUCCUGCUGCAUGGUGGGGGUUGGAAAGUUUCGGCGGUUUGGGAUGGACUCGCGGCUUAUCAGCUUGUUGGUGGGGUAGUGGCUUACCAAGGCCUUGACGGGUAGCCGGCCUGAGAGGGUGACCGGCCACAUUGGGACUGAGAUACGGCCCAGACUCCUACGGGAGGCAGCAGUGGGGAAUAUUGCACAAUGGGCGGAAGCCUGAUGCAGCAACGCCGCGUGCGGGAUGACGGCCUUCGGGUUGUAAACCGCUUUCGCCUGUGACGAAGCGUGAGUGACGGUAAUGGGUAAAGAAGCACCGGCUAACUACGUG